AUGAGCGCGGACCAUCGAGAUCAAGGCCGCCGAGGGCCGCUGAUGAGCGCGGACCAUCGAGAUCAAGGCCGCCGAGGUACAAAUACUAGAAAACUGCUGCUGCAGGACGUCCUCCUCCCCUCCUCCUACCCUCACACGUGCUAUGGGUUAACGAUGAUGAAUUUGUUCUAUUUGGAGGCAUUGGUGCCCCAUCAUCGAGUGCACGGAUGCAACAACAACAAGAAGAUCAUGGUCGUGCGUAUCAUCAAGCACACCAUGGAGAUCAUCCAUCUCACCGAUGCUAACUCAAUCCUGAUCACUGUCGACGCUAUCAUCCACAGGUAUUUCUCAAGGUUUCCUUUGUUCUCUCCUGCCUUUGUGAUGUGA
rnacentral:rRNA from 1 species